CAGCAGCCACGGUAAUACGUAGGUGGCAAGCGUUGUCCGGAAUUAUUGGGCGUAAAGGGCUCGCAGGCGGUUUCUUAAGUCUGAUGUGAAAGCCCCCGGCUCAACCGGGGAGGGUCAUUGGGAACUGGGAAACUUGAGUGCAGAAGAGGAGAGUGGAAUUCCACGUGUAGCGGUGAAAUGCGUAGAGAUGUGGAGGAACACCAGUGGCGAAGGCGACUCUCUGGUCUGUAACUGACGCUGAGGAGCGAAAGCGUGGGGAGCGAACAGGAUUAGAUACCCCUGUAGUCCCUGUCUCUUAUAC
rnacentral:rRNA from 1 species